rnacentral:miRNA from 1 species
UUUCCCCCAGAGAUCAUACCUGUGGGCAGGUAAUCUGAUAUACAAUCUUUUGGUUUAUUUGCUACAGAAGUAGUUUGGGGGAACU